GCUUAAAUUCUUUGACUCCUCGGUACUCAAUUAAAUCCUCUUUUUUGAGGAUUGAAUGAGAAGUAGAAGUAGAAGGCGCUCCGGUGGGAUCCUCACGGACAGAAAAAGAUUGCAGUCAGUUUGAUCCGUAGGCUGAGGAGCAAAAGGAGGAAUCCGCCCGAGGAGGGGCUCGCGUCUGAUUAGCUAGUUGGUGAGGCAAUAGCUUACCAAGGCGAUGAUCAGUAGCUGGUCCGAGAGGAUGAUCAGCCAGUAAGUGAGGCGUUUUUAGGUCGUGUUGUAAAUGCACUGGCUAAACCUAUUGAUGGCCGGGGUGAAAUUUCAGCCUCUGAAUCUUGGUUAAUUGAGUCUCCUGCUCCUGGUAUUAUUUCAAUGUCAAGGGUUCGAAUCCUGUCAUGCCUACCUAUUACUUAUCUUCUGAACAGUAACGGGGGAUCAAUUGAGAUCGAUUAAAAGAAAAUUGGAUAUACAUAAAAAAUCUUUAAUUUUAUGAUAGUAUAUAUGCAAGACGUAUUGGGGUCACAAACUAUUCAUUGUGAUAAUAAAGCGCUCUUAGUUCAGGUCAGUAGAUCGUGGGUCUCCAAAACCCGAUGUCGUAGGUUCAAAUCUACAGAGCGUGAUUCUGUGUUCUUGUUACCUAAAAUAAAGAAUUAACCAAACUUGCCCGAUGUAGAGGCAAUCAAGAAAGCUGCAUAAGCAGAAGAAGCAAUGACGGUAUCUGGGGAAUAAGCAUCGGCUAACUCUGUACCAGCAGCCGCGGUAAUACAGAGGAUGCAAGC
rnacentral:lncRNA from 1 species